UAUGUUUUAGGCCUUUUACAAACAAUUCUAUCAGGAUUACAAGCAAUCCUGUUUGGUUCGGGUUAUCCUGGUAGGAUUACAAGCAAUCCUGCGAGAAUUACUGUGUUUGGUUCAUCCGGUAUGUAAUCAAAUCGGUAACGUAGCAAUGCAAAUGGUGCAGAAUUAUACUAAAAAUAUUAACGAGAUUAGGGGUGUGUAUCUUUGAGUGCUGAAAGCCAGUAAUACUGCAUAUUAUGUAAAAUAACAAUUUUACCUCUCAAACUCUCAAAACCUUUUCAAUACGUCAUUUUAAAAAAUUUAAUUUAAAAUUUUGUCACGCCCCGGGGUCCCUUUUUAUUUUGAAACACAGCGGAAAAGCGUUUAAAAGUUUUUUUUUUUGAAAACCUGACCCCAGAGUAUGCCAGAUCCGCCACAAAUAUAGGGAAUCCACUGUUCACACGGGCAGAGUCUCCCCUGUAUUUGCACGGCGUCGCACAAGUACAAAAGUAUAAACAGUAUACAACCACAACUAAAUGAAUAUACAGAUAGCUAUACAUUCAUACCUUCACCAUUCACACCGUAGUUUUACAUUCGAUGUUUAAACAAAAAACCACGAAAAAUCUUUUGAAAACUGUUCCAUACGCGAAAACUUUUAUCUUUUAUAAAAGCUACCACGAGGGGUAGAAAACCUUUUAUUUUACCAAAUCCAGAAAUCCUUUUAUUACAUUCAUGAAAGUCCACAUAUUCCAAUGUAAUAAAAAUACUGAACCAUAUAAACUGACUAAGCUAUAACAACAGAAUAGUAGGGAUAAAACUAAACCGAUAACCUGAGUCGGAAGCUCUAUCGACCGCUACGAACGUACCUCACGUCUCGUCCCAAAACUCAACGCCUGCAAUACCUGAAAAAAAAUGGUGGGGGAGGUGAGAACAUGUAAACAUGUCUCCCCUCCCAGUGGGUACCGCAAGCCGACGAAGGCGAGGAGUACUCACCGGAUCAGGAAGAUAAACAAUGGUAUAUGGGUAAGUGAAAUACAGUAGCAACGAUAAUGACGAAUGAGAUAUAGAUAUAAGAGAA
rnacentral:lncRNA from 1 species